UACAGAGGGUGCGAGCGUUAAUCGGAAUUACUGGGCGUAAAGCGCACGUAGGUGGCUUUGCAAGUCGAUUGUGAAAUCCCCAGGCUCAACCUGGGAACUGCAGUCGAGACUGCUUUGCUCGAAUAUGGGAGAGGGAGGUGGAAUUUCCGGUGUAGCGGUGAAAUGCGUAGAUAUCGGAAGGAACACCCGUGGCGAAGGCGGUUCUCUGGGACGGUACUGACGCUGAGACGCGAAAGCGUGGGGAGCGAACAGG
rnacentral:rRNA from 1 species